rnacentral:rRNA from 1 species
GUGCCAGCCGCCGCGGUAAUACGGAGGGCGCUAGCGUUGUUCGGAAUUACUGGGCGUAAAGCGCACGUAGGCGGCUAUUCAAGUCAGGGGUGAAAUCCCGGGGCUCAACCCCGGAACUGCCUUUGAAACUGGAUGGCUAGAAUCUUGGAGAGGCGAGUGGAAUUCCGAGUGUAGAGGUGAAAUUCGUAGAUAUUCGGAAGAACACCAGUGGCGAAGGCGACUCGCUGGACAAGUAUUGACGCUGAGGUGCGAAAGCGUGGGGAGCAAACAGGAUUAGAAACCCGAGUAGUCC